rnacentral:piRNA from 1 species
CACAUGAGUGAGCGCGUGUGUGUCU